rnacentral:rRNA from 1 species
CCUACGGGGGGCAGCAGUGGGGAAUAUUGCGCAAUGGGCGAAAGCCUGACGCAGCGACGCCGCGUGAGGGAUGAAGGUCUUCGGAUCGGAAACCUCUGGCAGCAGGGAAGAACGGUCACGGGGCUAAGCAGCAGUGAAUUGACGGUACCGGCAAAGGAAGCACCGGCUAACUCCGUGCCAGCAGCCGCGGUAAUCCGGAGGGUGCGAGCGUUAAGCGGAAUUACGGGGCGUAAAGCGCGCGUAGGCGGUAUGUCAAGUCAAGGGUGAAAUCCCCGCGCUCAACGUGGGAACUGCCUUUGAACCUGGCAACCUGGAGUGUGUGCGAGGCUAGUGGACUUCCAGUUGU